AUGGAGUUUAGCUAAUAUUUCAGCUACAUGCUAGUGUAACAGCUGUUUUGUUUAGUUUAUUUAAUUUCACCAAAUUUGAUGUAAACAGUUUUUUUAUGAACAUUUCUACCUGGGUGUUAGUCUGUCCGAGGGUCCGUGAACGCACCACGGUGACGCAGCAGACAGUGCUGCACAUGCGCACUCAGACUGCUGCAAACUGUGGCCGAGUUGUUAGGGGGAAGCACUGACAAAUCCCGGACAGCCGUGUAACAUUUGUGUUUUCUGUCGACCAGACACCGGAUUACCUGGAGGAGUGGACUUCAUCCAUGGAGGCGCAGCGACUGCGACCCUGCAUGUUGAACCUCUUCCCUGGCUGUGGCGUGCGGGACUGACCCUGGAGGACCUGAAGGAAGAGAACAACUCCAUGAGAUCCUCUCAAACAUUCAUACCAGGCAGCAGUGGAUGCAGUUUAUCAAUCCCGAAGAGAAAUCCAGCCUCACCACUUGCUGGUUCUUGUGGACCUUGGAGGUGUCCAAGUGCAGCUGCUUUCCCCAGGACCGCUCACUCCCCCUGGGUAGACUGCUGGUUUUCAGUUUAGGCUCUUUGGUCGUCACCCGCAGCUUUGAAACAUCCGUGUCGGCUCUCUGGCGACCUCCGACCCCCUUCUGAAGGUCGACCCGGAAGCUGUUCUCCCAGGAGUCGUGGAGGUCGUCCUCGUAGUCCGGGGAAAAGCCGUCCUCCUCUGCGACCAGGUCGAGCGUCAGCAUGCCGUGGGAGGACGUGGACGCCUGCCGGAGGGGAAGAGGAUCCCCGUUAAAAAAUCAUGUUAAUCUGGAAAAAGAGAGGCAGAGAGCAGGACUGUAAUACCACGGCCAGCAGGUGUCCUCGGGUCGGCAGGCGGCGGCCCUGAGGGAUUUUUGCUCGGUCUCUGGUGGGAUGAGCCAGCGUGCUGUCCUCCUCGAUGGUCACCUGGACACAGAGAGAUGGUUACAGUGGUGAACGUCUAAAUCUACUGUCAUGUUUGAUAAAGUACAACAAUGAAUCAACAAAA